rnacentral:rRNA from 1 species
GACGAACGCUGGCGGCGUGCCUAAUACAUGCAAGUUGAGCGAUGAAGCUUGGUGCUUGCACCAAUUUGAAGAGCAGCGAACGGGUGAGUAACGCGUGGGGAAUCUGCCUUUGAGCGGGGGACAACAUUUGGAAACGAAUGCUAAUACCGCAUAAUAACUUUAAACAUAAGUUUUAAGUUUGAAAGAUGCAAUUGCAUCACUCAAAGAUGAUCCCGCGUUGUAUUAGCUAGUUGGUGAGGUAAAGGCUCACCAAGGCGAUGAUACAUAGCCGACCUGAGAGGGUGAUCGGCCACAUUGGGACUGGGACACGGCCCAAACUCCUACGGGAGGCAGCAGUAGGGAAUCUUCGGCAAUGGACGAAAGUCUGACCGAGCAACGCCGCGUGAGUGAAGAAGGUUUUCGGAUCGUAAAAAUCUGUUGGUAGAGAAGAACGUUGGUGAGAGUGGAAAGCUCAUCAAGUGACGGUAACUACCCAGAAAGGGACGGCUAACUACGUG